UCCAUUUUGAAAUGACGAUAUCUGACAUAGUGAUUCAGGUCUUUCAAAUUGAUUAUUGGACGCAGGUCUCCGGAUUUUUUGUGGACCAGAAAAAUAUUGUUUAGAAAGGUAUGUGGGAAGGGUGAUCUUUCUAUCGCCCCUUUUUCCACCAGUUUUUUCAAUUCUGUGUGUAAUGCCAGGUUGUCUGUUGCAGACAUCUGAAAUGGUGUAGGU